rnacentral:rRNA from 1 species
GAUGAACGCUGGCGGCGUGCCUAAUACAUGCAAGUCGAGCGAACAGACGAGGAGCUUGCUCCUCUGACGUUAGCGGCGGACGGGUGAGUAACACGUGGAUAACCUACCUAUAAGACUGGGAUCACUUCGGGAAACCGGAGCUAAUACCGGAUAAUAUAUUGAACCGCAUGGUUCAAUAGUGAAAGUCGGUUUUGCUGGCACUUAUCGAUGGAUCCGCGCCGCAUUAGCUAGUUGGUAAGGUAACGGCUUACCAAGGCAACGAUGCGUAGCCGACCUGAGAGGGUGAUAGGCGACAUUGGAACUGAGACACGGUCCAUACUCCUACGGGAGGCAGCAGUAGGGAAUCUUCCGCAAUGGGCGAGAGCCUGACGGAGCAACGGCGCGUGAGUGAUGAAGAUCUUCGGAUCGUAAAACUCUGUUAUUAGGGAAGAACAAAUGUGUAAGUAACUAUGCACGUCUUGACGGUACCGAAUCAGAAAGCCACGGCUAACUACGUG